rnacentral:tRNA from 1 species
AGGCAGUUAGUCUAAUAAAAACAUUUGAUUUCGGCUCAAAAAUUUAUGGUUUAAGUCCAUAACUGCCUA